AGUGAACGCUGGCGGUAGGCCUAACACAUGCAAGUCGAACGGCAGCACAGUAAGAGCUUGCUCUUACGGGUGGCGAGUGGCGGACGGGUGAGGAAUACAUCGGAAUCUACUUUUUCGUGGGGGAUAACGUAGGGAAACUUACGCUAAUAACGCAUACGACCUACGGGUGAAAGCAGGGGAUCUUCGGACCUUGCGCGAUUGAAUGAGCCGAUGUCGGAUUAGCUAGUUGGCGGGGUAAAGGCCCACCAAGGCGACGAUCCGUAGCUGGUCUGAGAGGAUGAUCAGCCACACUGGAACAGAGACACGGUCCAGACUCCUACGGGAGGCAGCAGUGGGGAAUAUUGGACAAUGGGCGCAAGCCUGAUCCAGCCAUACCGCGUGGGUGAAGAAGGCCUUCGGGUUGUAAAGCACUUUUGUUGGGAAAGAAAAGCAGCAGGUUAAUACCCCGCUGUUCUGACGGUACCCAAAGAAUAAGCACCGGCUAACUUCGUG
rnacentral:rRNA from 1 species